UACGGGGGGGGCAAGCGUUGUUCGGAAUUACUGGGCGUAAAGGGCGCGUAGGCGGCCUUCUAAGUCGGACGUGAAAUCCCUCGGCUUAACCGAGGAACUGCGUCCGAUACUGAAAGGCUUGAAUCCGGGAGAGGGAUGUGGAAUUCCAGGUGUAGCGGUGAAAUGCGUAGAUAUCUGGAGGAACACCGAUGGCGAAGGCAAUCCCCUGGGCCUGCACUGACGCUCAUGCACGAAAGCGUGGGGAGCAAACAGG
rnacentral:rRNA from 1 species